AUUGAACGCUGGCGGCAUGCUUUACACAUGCAAGUCGAACGGCAGCACGGGUGCUUGCACCUGGUGGCGAGUGGCGAACGGGUGAGUAAUGCAUCGGAACGUAUCCAAUAAUGGGGGAUAACGCAUCGAAAGGUGUGCUAAUACCGCAUACGCCCUGAGGGGGAAAGUGGGGGAUCGUAAGACCUCACGUUGAUGGAGCGGCCGAUGUCAGAUUAGCUAGUUGGUGAGGUAAAGGCUCACCAAGGCGACGAUCUGUAGCUGGGCUGAGAGGACGACCAGCCACACUGGAACGGAGACACGGUCCAGACUCCUACGGGAGGCAGCAGUGGGGAAUUUUGGACAAUGGGCGCAAGCGUGAUCCAGCCAUGCCGCGUGAGUGAAGAAGGCCUUCGGGUUGUAAAGCUCUUUCGCAAGGGAAGAAACGAUUCAGGAUAAUACCCUGGGUUAAUGACGGUACCUUGAUAAGAAGCACCGGCUAACUACGUGCCAUCCGCCGCCGUAA
rnacentral:rRNA from 1 species